GUGGGCAAGGCACAACAGAAAAAGAUAUAAAGAAAAUCACAAUUGCAGCAAGCUCACCGAGUGUUCCCUCAGGAAUAAGCUCCUGGGGAACACAGGGAGAGUUUGCCCGACGACAGGGAGUAAUUCCCGCCCCCAAAACACAGUAUUGGCCGCGCUAGCAAAAGCGCGGCAAAACUGCCCUUCCCCAAGAUGGCCGCCGCGACCGCAAUUACCGUGGGCCGCCGGGAC